AUAAUACCAGAUUUUUGUCACUCGACCAUUUCAGAAUCCAGGAACGAGCCUCAUGAUAUUGAAACGAAGAUCACAAGAAAAGACACAGACCUCCGCCACUAAUCCAGGAACGAACCUCAUGAUAUUGAAACGAAGAUCACGAGAAAAAAAUAGACCUCCGCCACUGUGAGAUACUGCUGUAACCAGAAAUUUUAAGCUAUCUUAAUGAACAAUUUGACUAGUAAUAGUAUCAACCUACUACUGAAGAUGACCCUUACUCAGUAGGAACGAACCUUUCAACUGAUAAAACAAAAUGUGAACCCUUUGUAAACCUUUUUAGCCAGCUGUGAUAGUAAGUACAAAAAGUGAAAAAUAUUCUUCUCGUUUAAAUUUUUCUACAAACUGUUCAAUAAUUAUUAUUUCAUGAAAUGUGAUCAUUUCUACUUUUACGUUCCAAACACGAACUGUGGUGUUUACCAAAGACUAUUAUAUAUAUAAUACCAGAUUUUUGUCACUCGACCAUUUCAGAAUCCAGGAACGAGCCUCAUGAUAUUGAAACAAAGAUCACGAGAAAAGACACAGACCUCCGCCACUGUGAGAUACUGCUGUAACCAGACAUUUUAAGCUAUCUUAAUGAACAAUUUGACUAGUAAUAGUAUCAACAUACCACUGAAGAUGGUAAACAUUGUACACGUACCGAACAGUAGAACCGGUGUCCCUUUUAACAUUUUAAGAAAUGCAACCGAUUGAUAAAUGGAAUCGGAUUUUUUUGAGAGAUAUAACUUUAAAUCAUAUUGAACGUUUUUAUAAAUCGGCAUUCAACGAGAAAUUUUGAGAUUUAUUUUGAAAUUUAAAAAAUAAAUGUUGUGUGAAGUGUGAUUAUUUUUCUUUAAGUGUAUAUUAUUACUUACCAUUUUUAACUGGUGUUUUUUUAAAUAAGAAAUUUAAAUACAUUUUUACUUUACAAUUUACAUUACUUUUUUAAAGUAAUAAUUUAAAAGCACAU